rnacentral:rRNA from 1 species
CGAACGCUGGCGGCGUGCCUAAUACAUGCAAGUCGAACGCUUCUUUCCUCCCGAGUGCUUGCACUCAAUUGGAAAGAGGAGUGGCGGACGGGUGAGUAACACGUGGGUAACCUACCCAUCAGAGGGGGAUAACACUUGGAAACAGGUGCUAAUACCGCAUAACAGUUUAUGCCGCAUGGCAUAAGAGUGAAAGGCGCUUUCGGGUGUCGCUGAUGGAUGGACCCGCGGUGCAUUAGCUAGUUGGUGAGGUAACGGCUCACCAAGGCCACGAUGCAUAGCCGACCUGAGAGGGUGAUCGGCCACACUGGGACUGAGACACGGCCCAGACUCCUACGGGAGGCAGCAGUAGGGAAUCUUCGGCAAUGGACGAAAGUCUGACCGAGCAACGCCGCGUGAGUGAAGAAGGUUUUCGGAUCGUAAAACUCUGUUGUUAGAGAAGAACAAGGACGUUAGUAACUGAACGUCCCCUGACGGUAUCUAACCAGAAAGACACGGCUAACUACGU